GAGAGCCGUAUGCACAGAAAUGUGCACGUACGGUUCGGUGGGGGGGCAACGGCUAACCCGUUCUGGGCGCACGUGCCCUACCCAAC
rfam:Citrobacter rodentium ICC168, complete genome